AGUGAACGCUGGCGGUAGGCCUAACACAUGCAAGUCGAACGGCAGCACAGUAAGAGCUUGCUCUUACGGGUGGCGAGUGGCGGACGGGUGAGGAAUACAUCGGAAUCUUCUUUUUCGUGGGGGAUAACGUAGGGAAACUUACGCUAAUACCGCAUACGACCUACGGGUGAAAGCAGGGGACCUUGGGACCUUGCGCGAUUGAAUGAGCCGAUGUCGGAUUAGCUAGUUGGCGGGGUAAAGGCCCACCAAGGCGACGAUCCGUAGCUGGUCUGAGAGGAUGAUCAGCCACACUGGAACUGAGACACGGUCCAGACUCCUACGGGAGGCAGCAGUGGGGAAUAUUGGACAAUGGGCGCAAGCCUGAUCCAGCCAUACCGCGUGGGUGAAGAAGGCCUUCGGGUUGUAAAGCCCUUUUGUUGGGAAAGAAAAGCAGCAGGUUAAUACCCCGCUGUUCUGACGGUACCCAAAGAAUAAGCACCGGCUAACUUCGUG
rnacentral:rRNA from 1 species